UGUCUAUUAGUAUGUUACUAUAAACCUUGCCAGUGAUGUGUGACCUAUCAAACUUCAAUGCGUUGGAUCGCACUACAACUCUCUUACUUUAAAUACCUUUCUCUUCUCUUUUUCUAACACAACCAUCUUGCAACUUCUCUUUCUUUCUAUUCUUUCUUGUUCUUUUUCCACACAAGGCUAGCUAGCUUUUAAGUGUUAUAUUUUUCUGGGUAUGGCUGGGUUUGAACAGAAGCUGAAGGACAGUGCCAAGGACCUAAAGAAAUUCGUCAAGAAAGGGGUCAAGAUUGUUGGAAACUCAUGCAAAAAAGGGUGGAACAAACUCAAACAUAUCAGACGCUGAUUCUAAUUUAAUCCAUUACAUGCCUUAAUUUAUCUCAGACUCGGUUGUUACAUUCUUUUAUGUUUGGGAGGAGAUCCACUUACUCUUUACUCCAUGUUUUAAUCUAAAUCUUUAGAUUUUCUUAGAAUUGAUAGCUAAGACGUGGAGUUUGAGUGAAUGAAUCUCUCCUCUCUAUUUAUUUUGGUAUUUCAUUUCUUCAUAGGUUUGAUUUUAAUGUAAAAAAAAAUCAUCUGAGUCAAUAUUCCUCUAUUUUUAGUGAUAAAAUUUUGGUCUGUCUAUUUCUUUUAUUUCAUACUUCGUUUAUGUCACUGUAUUAUUUGUACUUCCUCAGUUCCUCUAUAUUUCUAUUUAUUCGCCUUUGUUUGUGAGGAGCUAAGUUUAAGAUCUUGCUGUUUUUUAUAUCAAUUUAUGUAAUAUAAUUUUUCCUUUUUUGCUUCU